rnacentral:rRNA from 1 species
GAUGAACGCUGGCGGCGUGCUUAACACAUGCGAGUCGAACGGAAAGGCCAGUGCUUGCACUGGUACUCGAGUGGCGAACGGGUGAGUAACACGUGGGUGAUCUGCCCUGCACUUCGGGAUAAGCCUGGGAAACUGGGUCUAAUACCGGAUAGGACAAUGGUUUGGAUGCCGUUGUGGAAAGUUUUUUCGGUGUGGGAUGAGCUCGCGGCCUAUCAGCUUGUUGGUGGGGUAAUGGCCUACCAAGGCGUCGACGGGUAGCCGGCCUGAGAGGGUGUACGGCCACAUUGGGACUGAGAUACGGCCCAGACUCCUACGGGAGGCAGCAGUGGGGAAUAUUGCACAAUGGGCGCAAGCCUGAUGCAGCGACGCCGCGUGGGGGAUGACGGCCUUCGGGUUGUAAACUCCUUUCGCUAGGGACGAAGCGUAUUUGUGACGGUACCUGGAGAAGAAGCACCGGCUAACUACGUG